GCAAAGUUGUUGCUACUGGCCAUCCGAUAACAAGUGUUGGAUAUGGAAUCAAGCACGAAUCCAACACUUCAAAUCGGAUCGUCGGUAGCGAUGUCAAACUA